CAAAGGCUUGGUCCUGACUUUUUUAUCGGCUCUACCCCAGCUUACACAUGCAAGUAUCCGCACCCCCGUGAGAAUGCCCUAACAGUUCCCUGCUCGGGAACAAGGAGCUGGUAUCAGGCACACCUUUGUUUAGCCCACGACGCCUUGCUUUGCCACACCCCCAAGGGAGUUCAGCAGUGAUAGACAUUAAGCCAUAAGUGAAAACUUGACUUGGCUAGGGGUUACAGGGCCGGUAAAACUCGUGCCAGCCACCGCGGUUAUACGAGAGGCCCAAGUUGAUAUUUGUCGGCGUAAAGCGUGGUUAAGGCCCGGAAGAAAAAUAAAGUCGAACGCCUUCAAGACUGUCAUACGUGUUCGAAGGUAAGAAGUUCAGCAACGAAAGUGACUUUAUACCCCUGAACCCACGAAAGCUACGGUACAAACUGGGAUUAGAUACCCCACUAUGCCUAGCCCUAAACAUAAAUAGAAUGUCACCUUACUAUUCGCCCGGGUACUACGAGCAUUAGCUUGAAACCCAAAGGACUUGGCGGUGCUUCAGACCCCCCUAGAGGAGCCUGUUCCAGAACCGACACUCCCCGUUUAACCUCACCCUUCCUAGUUUUAACCGCCUAUAUACCGCCGUCGCAAGCUUACCCUGUGAAGGUCUUAUAGUGAGCAGAAUCGGCACAGCCCAGAACGUCAGGUCGAGGUGUAGCUUAUGGAGGGGGCAGCAAUGGGCUACAUUCCCUGCAAUCAGGGAAUUACGGAUAACGCGUUGAAAUACGUGUUUGAAGGAGGAUUUAGCAGUAAGCAGCAAGCAGAGAGUCCUGCUGAAGCCGGCUAU
rnacentral:rRNA from 1 species